rnacentral:rRNA from 1 species
UACGGGGGGGGCAAGCGUUGUUCGGAAUUACUGGGCGUAAAGGGCGCGUAGGCGGCCUCUCUUGUCGCGUGUGAAAGCCCCGGGCUCAACCUGGGAAUGGCAUUGGAAACUGGCGGACUCGAGUGUGGCAGAGGGGGGUGGAAUUCCGCGUGUAGCAGUGAAAUGCGUAGAGAUGCGGAGGAACACCGAUGGCGAAGGCAGCCCCCUGGGCUAACACUGACGCUCAGGCACGAAAGCGUGGGGAGCAAACAGG